rnacentral:rRNA from 1 species
GCAAAACAGCUAUGGGUCAAGUCCGAUAUCUUUAGGAGAAGUCUUAUUGUGAGGGCGAGUUAUAUAACACCAUAGGACUGGCCGUCCCAUAUGAAAAGAUUAUAUUAGAAUUGAAUGAAGCUUUGUUUAUAUAUUGAUAAUGACAGUAUAUAUAUCGUGUCUUGACUAAUUGCGUGCCAGCAGUCGCGGUAAUACGUAAGAGACUAGUGUUAUUCAUCUUAAUUAGGUUUAAAGGGUACCCAGACGGUCAAUAUAGCUUAUAAAAUGUUAGUACUUGACUAGAGUUUUAUGUAAGAGGGCAGUACUUGAGGAGGAGAGAUGAAAUUUCGUGAUACCAAAGGGACUCUGUAAAGGCGAAGGCAGCCCUCUAUGUAAAAACUGACGUUGAAGGACGAAGGCACAGAGAACAAACAGGAUUAGAUACCCAAGUAGUCUUUGCAGUAAAUGAUGAAUGCCAUAGGUUAGAUUGGUCAAUUAUAGUCUAGGGUUAGUCUAGCAAACUAAUGCCCUGUGCUAUAAUUCAAAAUAUCUGGUCUAUAAAUGAAAGUGUAAGCAUUUCACCUCAAGAGUA